AUCCAGAUGAUGAGUCCCAAAUAGGACGAAAUGCGCGUUUUCCUGGAU
rnacentral:hammerhead_ribozyme from 1 species